CCGGCGAUGUCCGAAUGGGGAAACCCAGUGCAAUUCGUUGCACUAUCGUUAACUGAAUACAUAGGUUAACGAGGCGAACCGGGGGAACUGAAACAUCUAAGUACCCCGAGGAAAAGAAAUCAACCGAGAUUCCCCCAGUAGCGGCGAGCGAACGGGGAGCAGCCCAGAGUCUGAAUCAGCUUGUGUGUUAGUGGAACGGUCUGGAAAGUCCGACGGUACAGGGUGAUAGUCCCGUACACCAAAAUGCACAGGCUGUGAACUCGAAGAGUAGGGCGGGACACGUGGUAUCCUGUCUGAAUAUGGGGGGACCAUCCUCCAAGGCUAAAUACUCCUGACUGACCGAUAGUGAACCAGUACCGUGAGGGAAAGGCGAAAAGAACCCCGGCGAGGGGAGUGAAAAAGAACCUGAAACCGUGUACGUACAAGCAGUGGGAGCACCUUCGGGUGUGACUGCGUACCUUUUGUAUAAUGGGUCAGCGACUUAUAUUCUGUAGCAAGGUUAACCGUAUAGGGGAGCCGCAGGGAAACCGAGUCUUAACUGGGCGUUAAGUUGCAGGGUAUAGACCCGAAACCCGGUGAUCUAGCCAUGGGCAGGUUGAAGGUUGGGUAACACUAACUGGAGGACCGAACCGACUAAUGUUGAAAAAUUAGCGGAUGACUUGUGGCUGGGGGUGAAAGGCCAAUCAAACCGGGAGAUAGCUGGUUCUCCCCGAAAGCUAUUUAGGUAGCGCCUCGUGAAUUCAUCUUCGGGGGUAGAGCACUGUUUCGGCUAGGGGGUCAUCCCGACUUACCAACCCGAUGCAAACUACGAAUACCGAAGAAUGUUAUCACGGGAGACACACGGCGGGUGCUAACGUCCGUCGUGAAGAGGGAAACAACCCAGACCGCCAGCUAAGGUCCCAAAGUCAUGGUUAAGUGGGAAACGAUGUGGGAAGGCACAGACAGCCAGGAUGUUGGCUUAGAAGCAGCCAUCAUUUAAAGAAAGCGUAAUAGCUCACUGGUCGAGUCGGCCUGCGCGGAAGAUGUAACGGGGCUAAACCAUGCACCGAAGCUGCGGCAGCGACACUAUGUGUUGUUGGGUAGGGGAGCGUUCUGUAAGCCUGCGAAGGUGACCUGUGAGGGUUGCUGGAGGUAUCAGAAGUGCGAAUGCUGACAUAAGUAACGAUAAAGCGGGUGAAAAGCCCGCUCGCCGGAAGACCAAGGGUUCCUGUCCAACGUUAAUCGGGGCAGGGUGAGUCGACCCCUAAGGCGAGGCCGAAAGGCGUAGUCGAUGGGAAACAGGUUAAUAUUCCUGUACUUGGUGUUACUGCGAAGGGGGGACGGAGAAGGCUAUGUUAGCCGGGCGACGGUUGUCCCGGUUUAAGCAUGUAGGCUGGUUAUCCAGGCAAAUCCGGAUAAUCAAGGCUGAGGUGUGAUGACGAGGCACUACGGUGCUGAAGUAACAAAUGCCCUGCUUCCAGGAAAAGCCUCUAAGCAUCAGGUAACAUCAAAUCGUACCCCAAACCGACACAGGUGGUCAGGUAGAGAAUACCAAGGCGCUUGAGAGAACUCGGGUGAAGGAACUAGGCAAAAUGGUGCCGUAACUUCGGGAGAAGGCACGCUGGUGUGUAGGUGAAGCCCCUGCGGGUGGAGCUGAGACCAGUCGAAGAUACCAGCUGGCUGCAACUGUUUAUUAAAAACACAGCACUGUGCAAACACGAAAGUGGACGUAUACGGUGUGACGCCUGCCCGGUGCCGGAAGGUUAAUUGAUGGGGUUAUCCGUAAGGAGAAGCUCUUGAUCGAAGCCCCGGUAAACGGCGGCCGUAACUAUAACGGUCCUAAGGUAGCGAAAUUCCUUGUCGGGUAAGUUCCGACCUGCACGAAUGGCGUAAUGAUGGCCAGGCUGUCUCCACCCGAGACUCAGUGAAAUUGAACUCGCUGUGAAGAUGCAGUGUACCCGCGGCAAGACGGAAAGACCCCGUGAACCUUUACUAUAGCUUGACACUGAACAUUGAGCCUUGAUGUGUAGGAUAGGUGGGAGGCUUUGAAGCGUGGACGCCAGUCUGCGUGGAGCCAACCUUGAAAUACCACCCUUUAAUGUUUGAUGUUCUAACGUUGGCCCCUGACCGGGGUUGCGGACAGUGUCUGGUGGGUAGUUUGACUGGGGCGGUCUCCUCCCAAAGCGUAACGGAGGAGCACGAAGGUUAGCUAAUCCUGGUCGGACAUCAGGAGGUUAGUGCAAUGGCAUAAGCUAGCUUGACUGCGAGCGUGACGGCGCGAGCAGGUGCGAAAGCAGGUCAUAGUGAUCCGGUGGUUCUGAAUGGAAGGGCCAUCGCUCAACGGAUAAAAGGUACUCCGGGGAUAACAGGCUGAUACCGCCCAAGAGUUCAUAUCGACGGCGGUGUUUGGCACCUCGAUGUCGGCUCAUCACAUCCUGGGGCUGAAGUAGGUCCCAAGGGUAUGGCUGUUCGCCAUUUAAAGUGGUACGCGAGCUGGGUUUAGAACGUCGUGAGACAGUUCGGUCCCUAUCUGCCGUGGGCGCUGGAGAAUUGAGGGGGGCUGCUCCUAGUACGAGAGGACCGGAGUGGACGCAUCACUGGUGUUCGGGUUGUCAUGCCAAUGGCACUGCCCGGUAGCUAAAUGCGGAAGAGAUAAGUGCUGAAAGCAUCUAAGCACGAAACUUGCCCCGAGAUGAGUUCUCCCUGAGACUUUAAGUCUCCUGAAGGAACGUU
rnacentral:rRNA from 1 species